UUAUUAUUCGCUUUUCUUCUUUUCAAUUUAUAUUUUCGUAAUUGAAAUUAUUUCAACCUCCAAGCGCUAUAGCUUCAUGAAUUUAAGGGGAACGUCGCCGUCUAGACGAAAUUACAAAUUGUAUAGAUCUAGAUCUAUAUCUAGAUCUAGUCUAAUUCUUUGGUUUCGAAGUAGAUCUAGGCUUAACCAACCCAUUUUCAAAGUUCGAUGACGCGCUGCCAUUUAAAUCCAUUGUUGAUGUUGACAGUUUGCUAUAAGCUGAGUCCACAUUCUGGUAUGACUGUACUAAAGACUGUCUUAGGGAAGAAUCCGAUCUGGAAUAUGCCAAACAUCAUUAGAUCUAAAAUCUAGAUGAUUUACACAUCAAAGGAAGAAGCUUCGACGUUCAAUGCCGGCUGUUUCCAUCUGUACUUUCUACCUGUGCUGAAAGUGGCUUGAAAGAGCACCAAAACUGGUCCCUCACACCGGUGGAGCAACUGGCUGUUGCUAUGGAGAGAAGCUUUCUAAAAUUCCUGCUUGCCCAGCCACUGGAGGUGAGGGUGAUUCUGAAAACUUGCACAACAGGCGUGCAGUGUUCCCUCCCGUAUGUGAGAGACAAUCCCUGUGGUCUAAGGCCGGUCAAGCCAGUGCCAAUAUGGAGUCAGUAUCUCACUGACCGCUCCCCUACCUGUGUGUGGGAAGAAAACUGUGGCAGAUGUCUUUAGAGAAAGUCAGAACCUGACAGAAAUGUUCAACUAUCUGUCCGGAGAACAUUCACGACGCUACCAUGUUGAAGGGGACAUCAGCGCUGCUUACUCAGAGAUGGUCAUCAACAGGAUCUGUUGGUAGAUUUGACUUGGCAAAAGAUGAAGCAGAUAAAGAGAUGUGGAUAACUGAGUGGAUCUGUGUGGAUCAGAAAAAAACCCUCUUGUCUAGCUCAUCCUGAAUAUUCCCCACUGUUUUUUAGCUCAUCUCCAGUAUUUU